AGUGGCAGACGGGUGAGUAAUGCAUAGGAAUCUACCUAGUAGUAUGGGAUAGCCACUAGAAAUGGUGGGUAAUACUGUAUAAUCCCUGCGGGGGAAAGAUUUAUCGCUAUUAGAUGAGCCUAUGUUAGAUUAGCUAGUUGGUAGGGUAAAGGCCUACCAAGGCGAUGAUCUAUAGCUGGUCUGAGAGGAUGAUCAGCCACACUGGAACUGAGAUACGGUCCAGACUCCUACGGGAGGCAGCAGUGGGGAAUAUUGGACAAUGGGCGCAAGCCUGAUCCAGCUAUGCCGCGUGAGUGAGGAAGGCCUUAGGGUUGUAAAACUCUUUCAGUAGGGAAGAUAAUGACGGUACCUACAGAAGAAGUCCCGGCAAACUCCGUGCCAGCAGCCGCGGUAAUACGGAGGGGGCAAGCGUUGUUCGGAAUUAUUGGGCGUAAAGGGCAUGUAGGCGGUUCGGUAAGUUAAAGGUGAAAUGCCA
rnacentral:rRNA from 1 species